rnacentral:rRNA from 1 species
UACAGAGGUCUCAAGCGUUGUUCGGAUUCAUUGGGCGUAAAGGGUGCGCAGGCGGCGCGGUAAGUCGGGUGUGAAAUCUCGGAGCUUAACUCCGAAACUGCAUUCGAUACUGCCGUGCUUGAGGACUGGAGAGGAGACUGGAAUUUACGGUGUAGCGGUGAAAUGCGUAGAUAUCGGAAGGAACAUCAGUGGCGAAAGCGACUUCCUGGACCAAUACUGACGCUCAUGUGCGAAAGCGUGGGGAGCAAACAGG